rnacentral:rRNA from 1 species
GACGAACGCUGGCGGCGUGCCUAAUACAUGCAAGUAGAACGCUGAAGAGAGGAGCUUGCUCUUCUUGGAUGAGUUGCGAACGGGUGAGUAACGCGUAGGUAACCUGCCUUGUAGCGGGGGAUAACUAUUGGAAACGAUAGCUAAUACCGCAUAACAAUGGAUGACACAUGUCAUUUAUUUGAAAGGGGCAAUUGCUCCACUACAAGAUGGACCUGCGUUGUAUUAGCUAGUAGGUGAGGUAAUGGCUCACCUAGGCGACGAUACAUAGCCGACCUGAGAGGGUGAUCGGCCACACUGGGACUGAGACACGGCCCAGACUCCUACGGGAGGCAGCAGUAGGGAAUCUUCGGCAAUGGGGGCAACCCUGACCGAGCAACGCCGCGUGAGUGAAGAAGGUUUUCGGAUCGGAAAGUUCUGUUGUAAGUCAAGAACGGGUGUGAGAGUGGAAAGUUCACACUGUGACGGUAGCUUACCAGAAAGAGACGGCUAACUACGUG